AUGUCCAUAGACCUGUACUGGGUUAGGACCGUAACCACCAGAGGACUUGAAAAUGAGCCGGAGCUGAGAGGAUCACCAAAACUAAAAAUCAUACAACCAACCAUCCGUGGAGAUCAGUGGACAAAGGGCUGGACAAUGGGCCGCACCGAAAAAACGCAUGGUUCCCAUAAAAAGCUGCCACUAAUCGAUGGUGGCUCAGGGCGGUACCAUUCUGCUCAUCUGAUGAAGGUGCACAUGGAUCAGAUUCAAACUUUGAAGACCGAGAUCGAGUCAUUGAAGGCAGACCAGCAGAAAGAUAAACAUUAUCUGAGGGCAGAGAUACGAGGGACAGCUGAUGCAUUGGUCCAGAGCCAGGCAGUAUUGGCAGAGUGUCACUCGUCAUUGACAGAGAGUCAGGCGGCAUUGGCGGAGAGUCAGGCGGAGAAUGACGCGUUGAAGAGGGCGAGGAAGGAGAUGGAGUCACAAUCCAUACCAGGCACACCUAACUGGACCAACUGCUCACCAGGCACAGCGAGGGCUGUCCGGAUCGUUACGCUGUUCUGCUAUUCCAAAGAUGUUUAA
rnacentral:lncRNA from 1 species